UAUUAUUUUAAGUGUUAAUUUUGCUUACCAGGGUACUAUUAGCUAAGGUCUUUAAACCCAAAGAAUUUGGCGGUAUCUCAUUCCAUUCAGAGGAACCUACCCCGUGAUUGAUAGUACACGAUUGACUUUACUUAAUUUAUUUGUUUGUAUAUCUCCGUUAUCAGAAAAUCUUUUUAGAGUUAUAAUUUUCUUGAUUUAUAAUUAUAAAAUAUUUCAGGUCAAGGUGCAGCUUAUAAUUAAGAGGAGGUGGGUUACAAUAGAUUUUUGUCUAUUACGAAUUUGACGGUGAAAAACUGUUGAUGAAGGUGGAUUUGAUAGUAAUUUAAUUUAGUUAAUUUAAUUGAUAUUGGCUCUGAGGUGUGUACACAUCGCCCGUCGCUCUCAUUAUUGAUCAUUAUACUUAAAAUUUUUUGGUAAGGUAUGUUCAAAUUAGAUGAG
rnacentral:rRNA from 1 species